GCAAACUUGGUCAUUUAGAGGAAGUAAAAGUCGUAACAAGGUCUCCGUAGGUGAACCUGCGGAGGGAUCAUUACUGAAUGGCCUUUUUGGCCUUCAAACCCCUCAAACCUGUGGAAGAGAAAAUGUGUUUCGGCGCCCAUGGGCGCCGCCCUUAAUGCAAAUGUCAGUCUUGUGUCUGAAAUAAAUUAAAGGUUAAAACUUUCAACAAAGGAUCUCUUGGCUCUCUAGAGGAAGUAAAAGUCGUAACAAGGUCUCCGUAGGUGAACCUGCGGAGGGAUCAUUACUGAAUGGCCUUUUUGGCCUUCAAACCCCUCAAACCUGUGGAAGAGAAAAUGUGUUUCGGCGCCCAUGGGCGCCGCCCUUAAUGCAAAUGUCAGUCUUGUGUCUGAAAUAAAUUAAAGGUUAAAACUUUCAACAAAGGAUCUCUUGGCUCUCGCAUCGAUGAAGAACGCAGC
rnacentral:misc_RNA from 1 species